rnacentral:rRNA from 1 species
UACAGAGGGGGCAAGCGUUGUUCGGAAUUACUGGGCGUAAAGGGCGCGUAGGCGGCCUUCUAAGUCGAACGUGAAAUCCCUGGGCUCAACCCAGGAACUGCGUCCGAUACUGGAAGGCUUGAAUCCGGGAGAGGGAUGCGGAAUUCCAGGUGUAGCGGUGAAAUGCGUAGAUAUCUGGAGGAACACCGGUGGUGAAGACGGCCACCUGGGCUGGACCUGACACUGAGGUGCGACAGCGUGGGGAGCGAACCGG